UCUUGUUGUUAGUUUCCAUGCUGUCAGAUGCAUUUUGAAAAAAAUAAUGCCCUGAAUUAGUGAAAGUAAUACAGCUAAAGAAGAAUAUGUAAAUAUAGAAAACUCAAAGAUUAACAGCAGGAAAAAUGAAGCCAUGCAGGGGCUGAAAAUUACAUAUCAAAGGGGAGAAAUAUUUGAGUUUGGUGUGAAAUAUGCAGAUGGCUCAGCAGGAGUCUUUGGCGAAGGUUUGCUAUGAAACAUAAACGUGUGCGCGCUUGUUAGUGAUGUGUAUAUUAUAUGUAUCACGGAUGCACAACAGAGACAAUGUGAAAGUCUGGAAAGAGCAGCGACCCACAUAAACAUUUUUUACUUUAAAACAACAGGUGAGCCAUCUGGAUCCUGUUAAGUCCAAAUAUUAGGUUCAUGGCCUUGUUGACUGACAUGUGGCUUGUAGUCUUCUGCUAGGCUGCACAUCCACUAAUUUGAGUCACUGACCUGAUCUUCACAAGAAUGUUAAAGUUAUUGGUUGCUUUUGGAGCACGUUCCCACUGAGCAUUCAUGUAUGCGCCAGAACAAGCUUGACCAAUAAAGGUUCCGCCUCACAAUCCACAGGCUCUAAAUGAUCCACCACCAAAGUUCCAGUGCCAGACACCACAAGACAUCACCAGUGAUCUCAUUCCAUGCCAUUCCUUCUUUUAAUGUUAUGGAUGUGAGUAAAGAUGGGGGUUUACCACAUGCAAGAAUAAAAAAAAAAAAAAUUAAAAGCCCAACAACUUUAUUUUGCAGCAUUGCAAAAUAAAGUUAAAAAAAUGAAUUUUUUUUUUUUUUUUUUUACUGUGCACAAUUUCAGUUCCCACAUUUAAUUUUUUCUGGGUUCGGACUUUCCUUUUAGUAUAGUAGUGAAUCAGGCCUUGAGGCUGUUAUCAUACAAUCUUCUAACUAAUCUUAUGUGCAUACAUUUCAAAAUGAAACACUGGUAAAAGCUGGGCUAGAGGCUACAUCAUAUCAGGGUUACAUUCGUCAUUCAGAAAUAGCCUAAGCAAAAGAAACAUAACUCUGUAUGUGGCUGCCCUGGAAUAAUACAUAAACUCUCCUCAGCAGUGUGAAGCAUCUUCUCAGCAACUGUGAGAUCAGACAAAGCCAAAAAUAACAAGCUUUUAAAAUCUAAAAAAAGCUGCUGCUGAGUGCACAUACAUAUCUUCAGAGGACAAAUGCAGGUGUUUUGGUGCCCUCACUGAUGACCUUGUUUGCUGUUGAACGUGUGCUUUAGAUUGCUAAGAUCUCUGGAGAAGUCAGCCAACUGGCUCAUCAAUGAAGAAGUCAAUGUGAAGCACUUUGGGCUCCCUUAACAAAAAGUCUCUACAUGUGCACAGUCAAUUACUACAUGGUCAAUAUCCACUAUCGUCCAGCACGCCUGUAAUCAAUAGACUGUGGUGUUGAGAUCAAUAGUGAGAAGACAGACAAUCUGACUGUAUUCUAAGGCGAGAAUAGGAAGAUUAUGUCUAGUGGGCCAGCCAACAGAGUGAAAACACACUGCUCUUGAUUCUUCAGUCCCUGCUAGGAUGCCGUAUAACUUACUUCCUUUUCUGUGUCAACAACCUCAGGAUGAGGGAAUGAGUUGCAACAUAUGGGAAAUCAGUCAUGAGAGGUGCUUUUAGAAAAACAGCAUAAAGGUGAAUCUUGACUAGCGACACUAAAUAUUGCAGAUAACCUACACAUAGUGAAGCUAUUUUACUCACAGCUGAAGUGUCUGAAACCCACUUUAUUCCUUUCUAUUGAGUGUAUUGUUUGUUUAUUUAUUCAUGUUUAUUUAUUCACAAAGUGAUUGACAGUAACAGUCAGAAUUCUUAAUCAUAAAAACUAAGGGAAAAUCACUGGGGGUGGGCAAACAGUUCCCAUUUGUUGAUAAAAACAAUGUUGUCCUCCCUACGCCAUCAUUGCAUAAAAUAAAAUUCCCAGUGUGUCCUGCUGGCAGUCUUUAUCUUUCAAGCUCAAGUCCUCAACCAGAGACCUGAGAGCUUGAAGGUCAUUGCUGUUCCUAGAACUGCACUCUUCUGGACAGAGAUCUCGGAUGUCAUUCCUGGGUUCUGUCACUACCCUAAGUGCCCCAUCUACCUUCUCAUUGCCUUCUCAAUCCAUAUCUUCUGUAGCUCUUCUCUAAGCUGUUGGUGUUUCUCUAGUUUAUCAUGUUCCUUUUUCCUGAUUUUGCUAUCACUGGGUAUAGCUACGUCUAUCACUACGGCUAUCUUCCUCUGCUUGUUCACCACUACUAUGUCAGGUUGAUUAAGCAUCACCAUUUUGUCUGUCUUUAUCUGGAAAUCCCACAGGAUCUCAGCUCGCUCAUUCUUAACCACCCCGUGGGGCAUAUCCUAUUUUGAUCUCAGGACUUCCAUACUUGGCACAGAUGUUCCUGUAUACUGUGUCGGUCACUUAGUUAUGGCUUUCCAUGUUUGCCCUGUCUGGUAGCAUCUUGCACCUUGCUGUAAUGUGCUGGAUUGUCUUAGAGGCAUCUUUGCACAGCCUGCACUUGGAGUCUUACGUGGUGUGAUAGACCCCAACCUAUAUGAAUCUUGUGCUUAGAGCUUGUUCCUAUGCUGCCAUGAUUAGUGUCUCUAUGCUGUCUUUAAGUCCAGCUUUGUCCAGCCACUAGUAGGAUGUUUUUUGUUAUUAGCUACUUCUUACAUACUUCUGUUGGUGGUACAUGCCUUGUAGGUGCCUGUCAAUCCAUCAUUCAUUGGCCAUAGUCCCGAUGGCCAUACUACUCUACUCUUUUGCCUCCUUCCUUCUGUUCUCAGGGUUUUGGACUUGAGGUGAAACCGUUUAUCGGGAGCUUUCCUGUUUCUCUUGUCUUGAUGUCAGUGGCUUCUGUCUCCUCCUUUGGACAGCUGAUUAUCCCAGCAGGGUAUCUGAUGACCCUGCCGUGCCCUGAUCUUGUUCUGCUGACUCCUCAGGACAUUCCUGUCACUCUGCAGCUAUUUGGUGGUUGCGGCUCUCCUACCAGCUUCUUCAUGGUUCCCAUUUGCCUGUGGGAUUCCAGGUUACUUGUAGGGAUCCCUAAUGUCUGCAACCUUGUUGUAGUGCAAUCCCCUUAGUUGUGAUGUUUGCUACAUUCUGUAGUUGGUUAUCAUAGUCAGUGGGGUUCAGGCCUAUGCAGAACAGAAACAGAAGCAGAACAAAAAGCAAGUCAGUCCCUAUAGACGCUCAUGUUAAAAUGUUCAACAUGACUACAGAUAGGUGCAAAAAGUGAUUUUGUCCUCUAUAGAUAGAGACCCCCCCCUUAGCAAUAAUUAGCAGAUAUCUGUACAUUUUGCUGGUACAUUCUGCAGUUGUAGCUAGCUAACCAAGCUUGGUAGCAUUAGCUGAUAGCUUAGCACUCCACCAUCUCCCAUUAUGGUGACUUCUGUCUCCAAGAAAUCAACAUAGCAGCGAGUACAAUGCUAAAGCCAGCGCUUCUAAAUACAGACCCUAAAAGCAAUGACUGAUGUCACUGUGGCCACAUUCAUGCUUUAUGUAGCCUACUCUGCAAUAAAACACUCUGAGAUACACCCCCUUCUAUGUUGUGUUAUAUUAUUUAACCAGUCCAAGCUUUAAAUCUGUUUUAAGUUGUUUUGGAGCAGAAAAUGCAGAAUUAUUUUCUAUCGUCACAUGUCGACUGGCUCAUUGAAAGUGUCUCAUCUUUCCUGUUUAGCAUCUCCUCCGUUGAAAUGAAGUGAUACCGCAGUCAGGCAGGGCAUACACUGGCUCCAUUUCUCCUCUCUCCUGAAGUAAGUGACAGCUGCAGAUUUUUUGGACCAUCCCUCCCUCCAGGAUGCCUGACAGUCCUCUGUUGUCAUGGCAACAGAGGCAGUGAGGCUAGCAGUUGUGACUGAUAUGCUGCUGAGGUGUUUCCCAAUCUGACACCCUGGCUCCCUCUCCCAGUCCUUUUGCCUCCCGUGUGUUGCUGUCUCCCUCUCCCUCCCUCUCUUUUCCUGUCUGAUGUUCUUUCAGGUAGUUUGAGCUGAUGAGUGCAGCCGAUGUGUUUGUGUCCGUAUCCAUCUGCACAGGGGUGACACAGUGCCCUGCCCUGCUGGCUCAUUGUGCUUGUUGACAUUUCUCAAAAUUGAGGAUGUAACAUGAAGGACAUGGCUGUGAGAACGAAGCUUCAGUAGUGACCAAACUACUCAAACCUUGAGGCCGACCACCGAAGAAAAAAAAGAAAAAGGAAACACAAAAGCACACAGGUGGUGUGGGUAGAUGUAGGCAUGCAGCAGAAGCUAUGCUUCUAAAGGUAAAUCCAUAAAUUUGCUAUUAACUUUGAAAAUGUCAGAGCAAACCCAGCGUUGCCUCAAACCAGGUGAGGCAGAGAUUGCUGCCUGCUGCUCUGGUAAUCACAGCCAGGUGAUUUCCUGGUCGUGGGGCCCUGAUGUCUGUCUGUGUGUGUGCGAUUGGAGCCAGUUGGCAGGGAGGCACAGGGACAGAUAAGGUGUCUCUUAAGUAAAUUCAUGAAUAGGAGCUCUUCACCAGGGCUGAGGUGGCUACUGCUGCUGCUUCAGCGUUGUUUGCAUUCAUGAAUAAAAACCUGCUUGCUGCCAUUCAUACAAAUACAAUUAACUCCAUGCUUCUCAUGUGCUAGACAGAAAUAGACGAACACAGAAGCCUGCUCUCAUACAUAAACGCUGGCAUUUAUACAACCGCUGAAGGACCUUGUGAGCACCAUCAUCCGCAUAAUCUCCCUGCAAUCCUAAGUGAUUUUAUUCUUCCAUCUUUACAUAAUAGGAACCUACUUAAAUUGUAAUAAAAAAGCAUCUAAAGAUCUCAUUGACACUUCAAUCUUGUUGCUUUAAUGUCUUUUUCAAGCCAGCAGAUUGUAUGUAUGCAUCCAUAUGCACAAGAGAGGAAAUGAAAUAGAUGAGAGAGACACAAAAAAAGAGUCUUCAGCAGUAGGCUGUGUGUUAGAGUGUGUGUGUGUGUGUGUGUGUGUGUGUGUGUACGGUUGUAAAAGUGUGUGUGUGUGUGUGUGUGUGUGUGUGUGCGUUUGUGUGGUCUCUUGGGCUACAGUGUGUGUGUGGGAGUGUUAUUGAGAGAUAUUUUUAAUUCUGUGUGUCAGCUCCUCUCAUCUCCCUCAGCAAGAGACGUCGGAGGGAAGCAGAAAAACAUUUGCAACUAUCAUUUAAAUACACACACACACACUCCUGCACACGCACGCACUCACACACACACACACUAGUGCAAACACAUACAGUUUCAGAAGUCUUUCAUAUGGCACCAGUUGCGUUUUUGAAAGUUAAAAAAAAAGCCUGCCAGAUUGUCAGUGUUUUUUUUCUGAAUUUCCCCUCCAAGUGCUUGUGAGGGAAUUUUUACAUGAACAAGAUUAAAACAUGAAUGUGAUCCCGGAUGGAUACAUCUCCUCGUGAAUCCAAGUGAAUGCUAAAAUCUCCCUGUCAAGCUACACACACACACACACACACACACACACAAAAACCCACUUCAAUCUGAUACUGAAGGUGUUAAAAGAUUAAACAGACUAACUGUUCCUCACCGCCUAUAAAAAGAAAUCAACAACUGCUGUUUAGAAAGACAAGUAAGGUUUUUCAGUUCUUCUGACACCUCAGAGGCCCGGUGACUAAAUAAUGCUUCACCAUAUGGCAGAUGAUGGCAAUAAUAAUUCCCUGUGGAGCAGCCGUCAGCGGCCUAAUGACUUUCUUCCAUGCUAUUGCUUUUAGGUGCAUGUGAAACCGCAGCGGACUCCAAAGUAGGAUUAAGGUCAUCCUGGUGGAAUACGCUGCAGGAUUUCUCUCAAGUAGAAGCUCUCAUCAGCAGUGAAGAUAUCCAUCAUGAUGCUGUGGUCGGUUUGGCAUCAAAGUUGAUGUUUUCUCCCAGAAAAAGUUUGAUAUCCAGGGUGAAGUCCAGUGGUGGUCUAAACUGAUCUUCCACCAGUUCUGGAAGCGGUCCAGAGGUGCACGUGGAAAUGAAGGGAGUGGCAGGUGGACAGCAGAAUCAAUGCAGGAGCUGGAGAAACUCGCAGUGACCGUGAUCUGGGGUCAACUUCACAAUCAGCCUGACACAUCAAAUAUUCAGCAGCGCCUCGGUGCCACUCUGAAACCACUCGCACUGGAGACCGAGAGGAGGGAGAGCGAGGGACAUGAUCACAAAUACUCAUUAUCACCAGGAGCUAUGUGUUUCACACUUAACGCUGACACUUAUCCCCAGCAGAUUAUAGCUCCAUACAUCAAAUAUUAAAGCAGCGGUGUGAAUUAUUGAUUCCAAUCAAUGAUUGCAGAUCAGAGCUCUCAGCUGGCAGAGGAGGAACUAAUGAGUGCGUGCUACACAGGCAGCUGAGUAGAACUGUGGAGCCUCGGAUACACUGCUGCUGUACGGAGCUGCUGAGACAUUUAACCUUUAAUACAUUUAACCUGUGCUGACAAAUUUUAGGCUUGCAACCACAAGAUUUAAUUUAUGUACAAUGUAUUAGUGCAUUUGUGGUCAUCAGACCACAAGAGUCAGCUUGGAAGUCAGCCAGUCCUUGACUUAUUGAAAAUCUGUUUUUCUACAAAGACUGUAUUUAAAAGAUGGACAUGGACCUCAUGAUGUCAUGCACUGCUUCUGAAACUCAAUUUUGAGCCUUAAUGUUUGCAUUUUGGUUGCUGCUGUGUUGGUUUUUAGAGUCAGACAUGACCAUAUAUGGAAAAGAAUGUGGGGACACCAGCUAAGACUAGCAAGCUUGUUCGUAAUGGUGCAACACACAGAUACACACAUCUACCAAAAUGAAAACAACCCACUGUUAUCAUUCAGGUCACAUGCCCAUAUGUAUAUUGACUACUCAGUUUUGCACUUAAAGUUUGAAUAUCUUGAAUAUCUUAAGACUUUCUGUAACUUAUUUUUUCUUACUUUUAUUUCUAUUUUUUUUAUUGGUUUUUUUUUGUUGUUGUUUUUGUUUUUUUGUUUUUUUUGCAUGCACAAGGUGAAAUUCCUUGUUUGUGUAAAGAAACUUGGCCCAAAAAAGAUGAUUCUUGUUCUGGUAUUGUUCUUCAGACAAUCACAUUAAAAAA